rnacentral:rRNA from 1 species
CCUACGGGAGGCAGCAGUGAGGAAUAUUGGUCAAUGGGCGUAAGCCUGAACCAGCCAAGCCGCGUGAGGGAUGAAGGUUCUAUGGAUCGUAAACCUCUUUUAUAAGGGAAUAAAGUGUGGGACGUGUCCUAUUUUGUAUGUACCUUAUGAAUAAGGAUCGGCUAACUCCGUUCCAGCAGCCGCGGUAAUACGGAGGAUCCGAGCGUUAUCCGGAUUUAUUGGGUUUAAAGGGUGCGUAGGCGGCCUUUUAAUUCAGCGGGAAAAGUCUGUGGCUCAACCAUCGAAUUCCCGUUGAAACUGGGGGGCUUGAGUAUGUUAGAGGCAGGCGGAAUGCGUGGUGUAGCGGUGAAAUGCUUAGAUAUCACGCAGAACCCCGAUUGCGAAGGCAGCCUGCCGGGCCAUGACUGACGCUGAGGCACGAAAGCGUGGGGAUCAAACAGGAUUAGAUACCCCUGUAGUC